GCCUAGCUGGCUCAGUUGGUUGAGCAUCAGACUCUUGAUCUCGGCUAAGGUCAUGAUCUCAUGGUUCAUGGGUUCAACCCCCACGUCAGGCU
rnacentral:tRNA from 1 species